rnacentral:rRNA from 1 species
GAUGAACGCUGGCGGCGUGCCUAAUGCAUGCAAGUCGAGCGAACGGACGAGAAGCUUGCUUCUCUGAUGUUAGCGGCGGACGGGUGAGUAACACGUGGAUAACCUACCUAUAAGACUGGGAUAACUUCGGGAAACCGGAGCUAAUACCGGAUAAUAUUUUGAACCGCAUUGUUCAAAAGUGAAAGACGGUCUUGCUGUCACUUAUAGAUGGAUCCGCGCUGCAUUAGCUAGUUGGUAAGGUAAUGGCUUACCAAGGCAACGAGGCAUAGCCGACCUGAGCGGGGGGUCGGCUACAGUGGAGCUGAGCCGGGGUCCAGAGUCCUACGGUAGGCCGCAGUAGGGAAUCUUACGCAAUGGGGGAGAGGCUGACGGAGCAACGCCGCGUGAGUGAUGAAGGUGUUCGGAUCGGAAAGCUCUGUUAUUAGGGGAGAACAUAUGUGUAAGUAACUGUGCACAUCUUGACGGUACCUAGUCAGAAAGCCACGGCUAACUACGUG